CACUCCUACGGGAGGCAGCAGUGGGGAAUUUUGGACAAUGGGCGAAAGCCUGAUCCAGCCAUGCCGCGUGCAGGAUGAAGGCCUUCGGGUUGUAAACUGCUUUUGUACGGAACGAAACGGCCUUUUCUAAUAAAGAGGGCUAAUGACGGUACCGUAAGAAUAAGCACCGGCUAACUACGUGCCAGCAGCCGCGGUAAUACGUAGGGUGCAAGCGUUAAUCGGAAUUACUGGGCGUAAAGCGUGCGCAGGCGGUUAUGUAAGACAGUUGUGAAAUCCCCGGGCUCAACCUGGGAACUGCAUCUGUGACUGCAUAGCUAGAGUACGGUAGAGGGGGAUGGAAUUCCGCGUGUAGCAGUGAAAUGCGUAGAUAUGCGGAGGAACACCGAUGGCGAAGGCAAUCCCCUGGACCUGUACUGACGCUCAUGCACGAAAGCGUGGGGAGCAAACAGGAUUAGAAACCCGAGUAGUCCCAUGAU
rnacentral:rRNA from 1 species